rnacentral:lncRNA from 1 species
CAUCAAUGUCUUUUUCUUCUUUUAGGCAUCAUCAGACUGCAUUUGAAUUACCUCUGAAAUAACAGUAGAGGUUAAAUUGCCAUUUUCAGCUGACUCAUCACGUUCAAAGCUGUGAUUCUGCUGAUGAAACCUUUGUAUUUAAGUGAAUGUAUCAUUAGAAGCAGAAACUACUGUAGCCUCAAACUUCCUCAUUUGAAGCAGACCUGAAGCAGAAAGAUAUGCAUUGACUGAACUGUUCUUGAAACAUUACCACUGCACUGGUGAAGAGAUGAAACAACACAGUGAAAACAAAACCCCUUCCCCCGGAAUUUUGCAUUUCUCCAGUGAGAGCUUCUGGCAG